CAAGUUUUUCAAUAACCGUCCCACCUUCCAAUCCACACCCUUUUUUAAUUUUUUUUCUCUUCAAUCUCUACAUCGAUAUUCAUAAUAUGGAUGUAAAGACUGCCACUUUGUCUUCACUCACGGCCACUUCCUAUGUUGUUAUCGUCAACCUCCAGCCACUUUGUCUUCACUCACUGCCCGCAGAAAGGCUGAUGGUAUUGAAUCUUCCGCAUCUAAUGAUGUGAAGGCAGGCGAUAUCAUUAGAGCUAAUUUUCAAGGUAGCACAUGGUCAUCGAGCGACAAGGAAGGUGAUUCAUCUAGCUUUAGUUUUCUCGCCUCGGCAGCAGAUUCUGUGAUUCAUCUAGCUUUAGUUUUCUUGCCCUCGACAGCAGAUUCUUACCUCUCACUGUGUAAUUCUUCCAUAUGGGCAUAUAGCUUUUAUUCUUUAGUUGACGGUUGAUUAUGGUAUUGUGAGGUUAUGUUCGAUGAUUGACUCUAAAUUUAAUUGUAUAGUUUGUGUUCUUCUAGCCGAUGAUUCCUUGUAGGCAUGUUGAUUUGUUAUUUGUGAAUAAUAUACAAUUUUUGUAUUUAUGUUUGUUUAUUUAAAUCUGUGUUAUUGUGUAAUC
rnacentral:lncRNA from 1 species